AUUGAACGCUGGCGGAAUGCUUUACACAUGCAAGUCGAGCGGCAGCGCGGGGGCAACCCUGGCGGCGAGCGGCGAACGGGUGAGUAAUACAUCGGAACAUGUCCAGUUGUGGGGGAUAGCCCGGCGAAAGCCGGAUUAAUACCGCAUGAGCUCUGGCGAGGAAAGCGGGGGACCGAAAGGCCUCGCGCGACUGGGUUGGCCGAUGUCCGAUUAGCUAGUUGGUGGGGUAAAGGCUCACCAAGGCGAUGAUCGGUAGCUGGUCUGAGAGGAUGAUCAGCCACACUGGGACUGAGACACGGCCCAGACUCCUACGGGAGGCAGCAGUGGGGAAUUUUGGACAAUGGGGGCAACCCUGAUCCAGCCAUUCCGCGUGAGUGAAGAA
rnacentral:rRNA from 1 species